GGCUGCCGCCGAGGGCCGCGCCGCCCCGUCCGUGUCCAUCGGUCACUCAGCUCCGCAUAAGGGCGAGGUCAAUAGUGCCGGGUGCAUGUCUACCGCCUUGGGGAGGACGGCGAUCUCAAGGCCGGGAAUCGAGCCCCAGUUCUAGAUGCGCAACAGGUGUUUGAGACAUCCAGGACCGCACCAUGAAAGAGCGGGAGAUGCCGAGCUACAUCAGGAUGCCGUUCCCUCUGACGCCUCUCGCGUCUCUCUUUUCUGCCCUUGCUUCGAUUCGAUUCGAUUUGGAUGUUGUGUUGUUUUUACUCAUGAAGGUCCGAUUUGCUUUACUUCCUGAUACGGUCACGCAGGUCGCUGUUAAGGCCUCGAGUUGGCUGCGACCAAGCACGGCCUCUAGCUCGCCCUGCACCGCGAUUGCAGUCGCGCGGCUGAUGACCACGGGCUGCUCCACGCACGGACGACAAGCACAGCAUCCGCGAUCAAGGAGAACCUGAGAUGCAACAUCAACGUGGUGGUCAUAUAUCAGAAAGGCAAGUUCUUAUGAAU